UCUCUUCAGAUUACUUAUUUUGUCAAAGCAAGAGCAAAAAUCAAAUCCAGGUAUUUUAUUUCUCCAAUAUGAAACUGAGCCCUAAACCAGCCAAUAUCUGGGUUAUACUGGCCAAAAUUAUUAAUUUCUUUUUUAAUGUCAGCUAUUCAUUUUUAGUUGACUACAUGGAAAUGAUUAUUAUAUGAUAUAAAAGUCAUUGUUUUAAGCUUUAGUCAUGUUACCUUGACAACAACAAUAAGAUGUUUAGCCAAACACAGAUAAAAUAUCAGGACUCUACAUGGUUGUUCAGGCUGAUUGAAGAUAUGAUAAUGAAUGAUUUUUUCACUGACCUAAAUUAUAACAGAUUCAUAUUAGAGUGCGUCCUGUGACGAGAGGGGUACAAUGACUAAACUAUUGCCUACAUGUCGUUCAGACUUUGCAGGUUGUUAUCUCCUCCUAAUAAUGAUUACAUUUAUUACCCCAAUUUCAAAGGCACCUCCCUUUUUAUCUGCACACAACCUACUAUAUAAAAGGCCAAACUUUACUGAAAACUUCGGGUCUCUUAUUCAGUCUCGAGUAAUCCAGGAAAGUUGUGAGAAUUACAUUCAAGAUGACCAGGCUCACAAUUCUAGCAGGCUUAUGUUUGGUGAUAUGCCAACUUGGUAAGUUGUAAUAUGUUUCUGAUCAGCUAGCAUCAU